AACGAACGCUGGCGGCAGGCUUAACACAUGCAAGUCGAACGCCCCGCAAGGGGAGUGGCAGACGGGUGAGUAACGCGUGGGAACAUACCCUUUUCUACGGAAUAGCUCUGGGAAACUGGAAUUAAUACCGUAUACGCCCUACGGGGGAAAGAUUUAUCGGGGAAGGAUUGGCCCGCGUUGGAUUAGCUAGUUGGUGGGGUAAGGCCUACCAAGGCGACGAUCCAUAGCUGGUCUGAGAGGAUGAUCAGCCACAUUGGGACUGAGACACGGCCCAAACUCCUACGGGAGGCAGCAGUGGGGAAUAUUGGACAAUGGGCGCAAGCCUGAUCCAGCCAUGCCGCGUGAGUGAUGAAGGCCUUAAGGUUGUAAAGCUCUUUCACCGAUGAAGAUAAUGACGGUAGUCGGAGAAGAAGCCCCGGCUAACUUCGUG
rnacentral:rRNA from 1 species